UGUCUUCAAAGUAAAUGUGGAGUUUGUAUGUUUAAUGGUUCAGUCCGUAACCUACACGCUGCUUGGCAGGCAACAGUGUCUCUUGCCUUCAGCCUAUAAUGUGAGCUCGUAAAAAAAAAAAGAGAGGGAAAAAAAAAAUCCCUCUCUUAUCGAUUCUGCCUCCAACAUAGCAACUGCUCGCCGAUUGGCCGACGCUCCGCACGUUCCCGUCCUCCCAUUGGCUGCUCGCGUAGCGUGGAGACGGUGGAAUCGGACGGAGACAGUGGGGAGGAGAGAUGUGAUUGGCUGCGGCUAAACUGAAAGCGAAAACCUCUUUUUCUGAAAGCCUGCGAGACAGUUGAUGGUGUGUGUAUUUUAGGCGUGACUCCAAAGGUAAUUCGUCCUGCUGCACCCCCACCACCACCACCAACACCCCUCCCUGCCAGGACUUAUUUAAAUUGAGAACUAUAAAGCAGAAAUGGCUGAAUUUGAACGACGAGAGAGAAGAGAAAGCAGAGGAAAGUAUGUAUUGUGUCCUCCAGUACCCUCGCUGCCUCCCAUCUCUGCUGACCCAAGGAUAAGCUCAUCGGACGAUAGUGGCUCCACCAGAGACAGAUGUGUGCUGCUAUUCACGGCCAUUGAAGGGAUGCAUAAUGGUCUUGGCAGGGCGUUCGACAUUCACCAUGGAGAGACUGUGGGGUUUCCCUGAUCGGCGGCCAGAACCAGCACACAAAGCACGCAGUAGUCCUGCCAGAGGCAACUCAACUGUGGGCAGAGUGUAGGGCGGCUAUGGUCUGGCCCCCAGGACCCUGCCAUUGUGGAAAUCACCCGGUGGUCAUACCCACCACUCAUCAUCUGUCACUCCAUUCUACCAGAGCCUAAUCUUACUAACAGAGGUGACAACUGAGGUACUCGUGGCAUGCCACCGCAUAACGUUUACCAGCUGAGUGUCUGAGUAAUGCCGAGGAUGAUGAUCCUGCGGUAUCAGCGGCCUCUGUCUCUCCAGAGGCCUUCUGCACCUCUCUCCCUAAGUGGUGCACCAAAUAAAGGCCUGACCAUGAUGAGUGUAAGCCGAAUAGAAGCUGUCAGUUUUUCAGGCCUUGUUUCAGUCCGUAUAGAUCACAGUAGGUCACAGAGCUGCUACUAAGAAUUAUUUUCACAGUCAAAGAAUCUUUUGGUCAUGAAUUUUGAUUUGUUUUCGAUGCUCAUCACAGUUCCAGAGCCCAAAAUGGGAUCUUUACGUUGUUUGUUUUUUCUAACCAACAGUCUAAAGCCAAAUCAUAUUCAAGUUGUGGUGAUAUAAAACAGAAAAAAAUACACGUUUGCUUGGUAAAUAACUUUCUUUUAGGACUAGUCAUAAGUACAUGCUUGAUCUAAAAACAAAGACUGUGUUUUCUCUGAUUGAGUCAGCCCACCUGCUCAUUAAAAUCUAGUGUUGGACGAUGUAUAUCAGGCCAGAUAAAUAAUCUUUGUAAUAAUAAUAAUCUUUUAAAAUAAGGAUCUUUUAUAUUAUUAUGUCAUGUUAUUAUUUUGAUAAUUUAUUGGUCAGUAAUAAUAAUACUGAUUUAUUUUGAAGUCUUAUGCCAAACGUUUGACAGGCUUCAUGUUCUAUGAAAACCAAAGUAUGUUUGUAAGGUUUUGUGAUGCACAGAAAUAAAAUAAUAAA